UACGUAGGGUCCGAGCGUUGUCCGGAAUUACUGGGCGUAAAGCGCGCGCAGGCGGUCCGCGAGGUGUCACGUGAAAGCCCCGGGCUCAACUCGGGAGGGUCGUGGCAAACCGGCGGACUUGAGGCCGGUAGAGGUGGGUGGAACUCCUGGUGUAGCGGUGGAAUGCGCAGAUAUCAGGAGGAACACCGAUGGCGAAGGCAGAUCUCUGGGCCGUAACUGACGCUGAGGAGCGAAAGCAUGGGGAGCGAACAGG
rnacentral:rRNA from 1 species